rnacentral:rRNA from 1 species
AUUGAACGCUGGCGGCAGGCCUAACACAUGCAAGUCGAACGAGUGGCGGACGGGUGAGUAAUGUCUGGGAAACUGCCUGAUGGAGGGGGAUAACUACUGGAAACGGUAGCUAAUACCGCAUACCAUCAGAUGUGCCCAGAUGGGAUUAGCUUGUUGGUGGGGUAACGGCUCACCAAGGAGACGAUCCCUAGCUGGUCUGAGAGGAUGACCAGCCAAACUGGAACGGGGGAACGGUCCAGACCCCUACGGGAGGCAGCAGUGGGGAAUAUUGCGAAAUGGGCGCAAGCCUGAUGAAGACAUGCCGCGUGUAUGAAGAAGGCCUUCGGGUUGUAAAGUACGUUCAGCGGGGAGGCGUUACCCGCAGAAGAAGCACCGGCUAACUCCGUGCCAGCAGCCGCGGUAAUUC